rnacentral:tRNA from 1 species
GCGGGCAUAACUCAACGGUAGAGUGCUUCCCAAGCUCGGAGUUGCGGGUUCGAAUCCCGUUGCCCGCU